UACAGGGGGUGCGAGCGUUGUCCGGAAUCACUGGCGUAAAGGGCGCGUAGGCGGCGCGGUAAGCGUGCGGUGAAAGCCCGGGGCUCAACCCCGGGUCGGCCGUGCGGACUGCCGGGCUGGAGCACUGUAGAGGCAGGUGGAAUUCCGGGUGUAGCGGUGGAAUGCGUAGAGAUCCGGAAGAACACCAGUGGCGAAGGCGGCUCACUGGACGACUGUUGACGCUGAGGUGCGAAAGCGUGGGGAGCAAACAGG
rnacentral:rRNA from 1 species